CUGUACCUAAGCUAAAGUACAUGAGAACCUAGAAAGAGACGAAAAGAGUCAGAGAAGAUCUUAGAGAGACUCAAGGAUUUACGAUUCUAAAACUGGUCUUGUUAACAUAUACCUGUUUACUUUCUUCUUUGGUCCACCUUUUCUUCUCAUUUUACCUUCUUUAGAUUCUUUGGUCCAUUGGACUUAUUUCAUCCUCAUUUUGGCUUCACCGGAACAUUUCAUUGCCCAGUUUGUCGCUUCCAAUUCCUUUGGUUGUUAACAGUAAACUUUUUAGUGCGUAUUUCAAUCAAAAAAUCAUCUAACAAUGCGUUGUGUACUUGUUUUGGUUUGUCUCUUUGCUCUACAAGCAUCAUGUUUCCCUCAUGAAAGCCGACGUGAAGAAGAAGAAGCUAGAAUUUUGUCUGAAGUUUGGGACGCAAUGGACAAACAUAGAGGAGAUGACAUAAUUGUGGUUCCAAGACAUGACGAGUCUGGUCCAAGUGAACAUCAUUCAAGUGAAAGUCAUUCAGAGAGCCACUCAAGUGAACAUUCUGAGGGUCCUCAUGAUGGCCCCCGUGAUGGUCCUAGCCACUCUGAGCCUGAAAAAUUACCAGAACCAGAAGCUCACAAGCAAUCUGAAAGCUCAGAAUCUUCAGAGAAAUCAGAGGAAAGCAAGGAAAACUCAUCUGAAUCCAAAUCAGAGGGUUCAGACAGAUAUCGGCCAUUUGACAAAAUGUUCGGAAAUCUUGAUAAAAUUGGUGACAUGAUGAGUCGGGCUGUUGACAGAUUGAGACAAGAUGACCAAGAAAUCAAGGAUUUAGAAGCUGAAGGAUCAUCAUCAAAUGGACUUACAGUUUUCAUCUUGGAAAUUGUUGGAGGCGUUGUAGUUGCUUUAAUUGUAAUCAUACUCGUUGUGGUUGGAUCAGUUAAAGGAGUAAACAAAUUGAAGACAUGGAGAGCAAGACGAGAAUCAGCAAGAUUAGUUGGUAAUGAUUUCUUAUGAUUUCAGUAAUUAACUUAACCAUUCAUUAAUCAAAUCCAAUGCCCAAUUGUCAAUGGUUUACCAUGCUAGUUUAAUAAUCGGAUCAAGAAAAUCCCAAUAUGGAUGCAACUGGUUACCAAAGUGGUUUUAACCCAUGAAUUGAACCAUUUGAUUUCAUAAUUGAUGAAAUGACCAUCAAUCGGAAUAGACCCAUCAUUAGCUGCCAACACAGUCUUAUUUCAUCUAAAUUUUUACAAUUUCAUGAUCAUGAUUUGUCUAACAACAAUUUAAUAACUUGAAAUACAUUUGAGUAUUACUGGCUCAGUAAAUGUAUUUUAUAAUUUGAUUGAAAUGAAUGUAAAAUUUUGCUUAAUAA